rnacentral:rRNA from 1 species
UACGUAGGGUGCGAGCGUUAAUCGGAAUUACUGGGCGUAAAGCGCGCGUAGGCGGGUUUGUAAGUCGAUUGUGAAAGCCCUGGGCUCAACCCGGGAACUGCAGUCGAAACUGCAAAUCUUGAGUGCCUGAGAGGAUGGCGGAAUUCCCGGUGUAGAAGUGAAAUUCGUAGAUAUCGGGAGGAACACCUGAGGCGAAGGCGGCUAUCUGGCGGUGCACUGACGCUGAUGCGCGAAAGCGUGGGGAGCAAACGGG